UAGUCAUUCAGCUAAUAAAAUAUUAAAUUAUAUUAAUUAAACAUGUUUUCUCAUAUCCCUAUAGUCAUUCAGCUAAUAAAAAUGGCAGGUUAAAUUGUUGGGUAGGCUAUAUAUUUUAGGUUAGUUUCCGACACUGUAACUGUAACUUUAACCCAAUUCAACCCUUUAAAAUGAUGUAAUAAUACGCGUAUGUGGGCAUUAUUUUACACACCCCAGCCUAUAUGCAUAGGAUAUUAAUAUAUAAUCAAAAUAUAAAGAUAGAUCUGCGCUUCAUCCAGACGCACGCACUUCAUAACGGUUCUGCUUCCUCCAUUCUCAGGCUGCUAGACACAUCUAUUCUCUCACAGUUUUGUCACAUUAGACUGUUCGUAAAUAAAGCCAUGAUGUAUGUAAUCCUCCAAGUCAUGGAUAUGGGUUUGUAAUCAUAGAUGUAUUUUUAAAUUAGAGCAGAAGAGGCAUAAAUAGAAACCGAAAGUAACUACAGUGGAUUAACGGGGUUUGUUUAUACUGGGUUACAAGACUUUUAUGGGAAAGAAGAAAUCGUCAGUCAAAAUGUGGGUAUUGUGCCCAGCAGGCCUGAAUAACUCCUUUUGAGACCCGCGUCAAAGGCCAGAAAGAGAAGAUGGAGGAGAUUGCACAUCGAUGGGCUGCUGGAGCCGUCAUUAUUGUCCCGUCUCAUCAUGAUCAGAUAUCUGUCAUCUCACCACAAGAUGAACACAAGGCCCUUCUGUUCCAUUUAGCAGAGCUCUUUAUGACAGGCCUCAACAAAGGCAGCGACGUGUGCAAAAACACACAGCUCUGGUGCUUCUUGUGUCUGUGUGUGUGUGUGUUCAUGCUCCAGUGACACACACUGAGUCGGCGGCACAAAACCUGCGGCCCCUGGAAACCCUGCAGAGGAGGAGAUCAUGACCCCUGACAGCUGCCCCGCUACAGCCUCCAUCAUCAUCAUCAGGGUUUAUGUAGGAUUGCAUGGGAAACUGGGACUAUACUAUAUUUGUAAGGUCUUAUUUUAUAGUUCUGGCUUAUUCUCUGCAGUUUUUAGUUUGUAUCUCACAAUGAACUGUGAAGACUGUUAUGAUGCAUUUAAUUGUUAAAUUGGUAUUUUUAUUAAAAGGAAAAAACACAGGAGACUUCUGUGUAUUUCUUGCUUGAAUGACCG
rnacentral:lncRNA from 1 species